AUUGAACGCUGGCGGCAUGCCUUACACAUGCAAGUCGAACGGUAACAGGUCUUCGGAUGCUGACGAGUGGCGCACGGGGGAGUAAUACACCGGAACGUGCCCGAUCGUGGGGGAUAACGAGGCGAAAGCUUUGCUCAUACCGCAUACGAUCUACGGAUGAAAACGGGGGAUCUUCGGACCUCGCGCGCGCUGAGCUGCCGAUGGCGGAUUAGGUAGUUGGUGGGAUAAAAGCUUACCAAGCCGACGAUCUGUAGCUGGUCUGAGAGGAUGAUCAGCCACACUGGAACUGAGACACGGCCCAGACUCCUACGGGAGGCAGCAGUGGGGAAUUUUGGACAAUGGGCGAAAGCCUGAUCCAGCCAUGCCGCGUGCAGGAUGAAGGCCUUUGGAUUGUAAACUGCUUUUGUACGGAACGAAAAGCCGCUUUCUAAUAAAGAGGGGUCAUGACGGUACCGUAAGAAUAAGCACCGGCUAACUACGUG
rnacentral:rRNA from 1 species